rnacentral:rRNA from 1 species
UCGCGACCCCAGUCAGCGGACUACUCGCUGAGUU